rnacentral:lncRNA from 1 species
CCGGGCCCUCUGACGAGCAACCCAAACCCGAAGCCGGAGACGCCGCAGGUGCUGCUGAUGGCGGGAGCCGCUUACGAGGCCUCCUCCUUGGCAGCCUCCUUGGCCUUCUUGGCGCGGGGGCCCACCUGCCGUACGUUCAUGCGCUCCAGGCGCAGCUUGGCGUAGGCGGUGGCCUUGAUCUCGGCCAGCUCCUUGCCCGCGGUGGCCUUCAUCUCGCUGGUGACCUUGACGGUCUCCAGCGCCGGCGCGGCCUUGACCAGGGGCAGGACCACGGCGCCCUUGACCUGGGCGACCGCGUUCGCCUCGGCCAGAGGGGUCUCGAAAGCCUUCGGCUUCUUGACGUUGCGCGGGAAGACGACCAGGUUGCUGCGGUAAGCCUUCAGACGCUGAGCGUUCUCCUGCAGGCUCUCCAGCGACUUGUUGCGGCGGCGGUGGUCGAUGGCGAUGCCCAGGCUGGCCGCCAUGCGCACAGGGAUCCCAGCCUCCUUCAGCUCGUCCAGGGUGAAGCCCUUGCCAAUGCGCUGCUUGGUGUUGUACUUCAGGGUCUGGCCGCGAACAAUGGGGCGCAGCAGGCCGGCGGCCGGGCGAGGGAACUGAGCCUCGGCCUUCUUAGCGCGAGCAGCCCGGCGGCGCUCCUUGCGAGCAGGCUGGUUGAACCAAGUCUUCACAUAGAACUGCCACUUCUUCUUGAAGUGGUUGUUCGGGACAACGUUGUUGUGCCGCACCAUUUUUGCUCAGUGACUGCAGUGAGUGUGGCGGCGGCGCCUGGAAAGAGGGAGUGUAUGUGCAGGCAGGGCGUGUAUAUCGGCGCGGCCAUCGGGCGCUGCACGGCAGCGCGAUGCUGCGAGUUUGCCUGCGCUCGCUGCCCCCCGAUUUCGGCUGCCACAAACCUUGCCCCCUGCGCGCUCUGCACAUACUAUUGAAACCUCCCCACAAAGGCCUAUCUAGCCAUGAAUUUCUUAGGGCCUGCCUCGCUGCCCUGGAGAAAUCAGGAGGUCGCUCCUUGCUGGAGCCCUUAAUUUCACCCAUUGCUGGCACGAACGGGGUUAUAACGAGCUAAGGGUGUAUUCCUAAUUUUUAGAGGCCUGAAAGGCGCCUUCCCCGGGUUGAGGCAUUCUGUAUUUGGGUUCGGUGCGGACAGGAAAGGCAGGCAUGUGGAACCUUUUCCUGCGUAAUCUUAGGUGCAAAUAGCGCCUGAAAUGCUUGGCCAAGCUUUUGGGUCCGCCUUCGGCGGCACGAAUGCUGGCAAGAAUGGCCGUCGCGGUGUUGCGAACAACGUGUCGACGGCAAGGGGUAGUCUGCAAUGGCUGUGGGAGGCUACUCAGGGGCACUGAGCGCAUCGGUGCGCGAACAGGCGCUUGCACCGGGGGUUUACUAGUGACCGGGUGCCACAGACUCCGCAGACCCCGACUCCCACGCCACUCCUUCCCUGCUCCGUGCCAAACGCCUGUCCAUGUCAUGGAGUCACCUGCUUCUACUGUGCUGCCACACAGCUGUAAGCACGCACGGUUCAGGCCUACGGGGCACGGCGUGUGAGCAUGCGCGGGCAUGGGCGCGGGCGUGCGUGCCUGCGUGGCAGCCUGCCCCCGGCCGCAUUGUGCUGCCACGCACAGUCACUUCUAGCCCAGAUCCAGCUCCAGUCAGCCAGCAAGCCCAAGGUCCCAUCGGCCCAUCCCACCUAGCAUCUGUGUGUAUUUGGGGGGGGCGGCACCGUGCCGCCUGUGCCCUGCAAGCCCUACCCUGUAGCUUGGCCCUGCUGCCCCCCCUGCCCCCCUGCCCUACCUGUGGCCUGGCCCCGCUGCGGCUGCGCCAAGCUCUUCCCCCGCUCCAAGGCCCCACGGCCCCACCCAUGCCACGCCACCUCAGCUCACAAGUGCCCGUGGCUCCUGCAUCCCAAGCGCUGCAACACCCGCGGCUUGCCCGCCACGGACGCACGUCCACGCAUCUCAUCCCCACAAUCCCCAGCCAACACAGCAGGGGUUAUGUGCCCGAGCCCAACGAGAUAGGUCCCAAUAGUCAAGGCAUUGCCGCAGCAAAGGUGAGCAGGCAUGGCCUUUUCCUCCCCUCAUGCCUCGGCUACGUAGCUGCAAGCCGAGCCGCCAGCUACCAAUAGUCAGCAGAUCAUCGCAGCAGGGGCGAGCCGGCGUGGCCUUUGCACUCCUCAGGCUAGCUGCACGCCGAGCCACCGAGCGUAGCCAAAUUCCUCAGCCGACGUACAAAGCAGGCACGGUCUUUCCAGUUUCCACCCAUCUGCUAAGAGGUUGCAGCCCGAGCCGCUGAGAGCGCAACCACCCACAUUCCGGCCCACGUCAUACAUGCCCCUGUCCCCGUGCGCACACGCUUCCUUCCGACCUCGGCUUUCCUCCAGCAGACGUGCUCCUGAACUGCUCCUGAACUCACACGGAGUGCCGUGCGUGCCUUGCUGUUCGUUUCGCCGAACCGCGCUCUGCCCCCAUACACACGCGUCUAAAACCCUGAGGCCAGCGCACAUGCGUGCCUUCUGGGCGGCAUUGACAGCAGCCAAGCCCUGGGGUCCUCCUGUGAAACACAUUACUUCCAGCCAUCCUAACGGACGCACACUCCCCACAGCACAGAAUCAGCGUUACCCCCAGCCAAGGCCCGGCAUAAUCUCAAGGCAGGCAACGGAGCGCCUGCAACCACCUACAUCUACCGAUAGAAAACUCCAUGCUAUCGUGGACCAGAGUUGAUCGUUGUGCCUUCAGUGUCUUUUAAUACCGUACUAUCGCACCCGCCCCGACCAUGGUGCGCAUCAAACCGGUGCGCUGAGGGCGGAGGGCUGAGGCAGCCGCACCUGCAUCCGCCACGGCAAGGCACGGCACGGCGUGUGCUCUCCCGUGCGGGAUGCCACGUGGGCCCGAACGUCUGGCUGGGGUCUGGCGGUGCGCCCACACCCCGGCCUCUUUCCACACAUACAAAUGCACUCGCCCACAGACACCCGUCCCCAACACGCUGCCCAGCCGCUCCAAGCUCCAGCCGCUUCAUGCUCAAGAUGGCGAUCCACCCAGACGCUCAGGCCUCCCUAGCAGUUCAGCUCGACAGACGCCCGGGCCGCCGUAGUACUUCGGCCGCGCUAGCUGUUCAGGCCGCCCUAGCAGUUAUUGACGAUGCCCUAAGCAACUCAAUGCAAACAGUUCAUCCGCCCCUACAGUCCAGCCGCCCUAGCAGUUCGGCUGCGCUAGCUGUUCAGCCGAUCAAGCCGCCCAGCUCUCGCAUGUGUUGCAGGUCCCAUGGGCGGGCACGGUGGUGGGCGGAGUUGGCGCGGACGACUUGUAUCCGGCGCAUGUGCCGGGCGGGCUUGCGGCAGCAAUCUCCCUCCGUCCCACCCGCGCGCGCGCGCGCUCCCUCCGAAGGCAGCCGCUCGGGCGUCGGGGCGGGUCGGCCACGCGCCCACGGGUCGCAACGCACGGAUCCAAAACGGAACCUCCUGCGGUCACCAAGUCCGGAUUCCGUGCAGAUUUCAGCAUGCGUGUGCUUUAAAUCAUCAUUCAGCUCACGUCAUGUGGGGUGUGGCAUCGCGGGCGUGUUAAUUAUUACCGUACGUACUUGCCCCCUGCUGUGUCGAGGAUGGACAGCAGGGGGGCGACGCAGCAGGCCCGGAUUGGGGCUACUGCUGCACGGACGGCACACACCUCGCAUAAACAAAGCGCACACGUACCGUAAAUAGGCGGCUGCGCGCGGACCACCCCACCCGCCCCACCGAACCCCACGACCCAUCCCCGUCAUCGCCCGCAGGCGUCACUGGCCACUGUCGUACACACCCUGUCGUACCAUGGGGCUCGGCAACGUCGUAAACACGUUGUUUCAUACCCUGAAAGCAGCUGGGUGUGAGGCCGGCUGCGCCUCACCCCGCACGAAGGUGCCAGAACAGGAUCACAGGAUUUUUGCUCUGUUGUACGGCUUCGCCCGUGGUGACCGGCUCUCGCCCGCCAGCCAGCCAGGCUCCGAGAGCGCUGCUGGCGGCCGGCCGUGUUGUAUCCCUUGGCUUGAGGCUGGCGCUGGGGCUGGGGCUGGGGCUGGGGCUGGGGCUGGGGCUGGGGCUGGGGCUGGGUUGGGGCUGGGGCUGGGGCUGGGGCUGGGGCUGGGGCUGGGGCUGGGGCUGGGAGGAGGUGAAGGCGUGUGGGUGCCGGUGUUCGUGUCGGCGGAAGGAGGCGGGCGCGAAGGACGCGACAGACGGGCGCCGGCGCCGGCUGCAACAGGCAGGGCGAGAUGGGUCAGGCGGGGUCAGGGCAGGUUGGCGCAGCCCCGUAGUGUGCAGCAGGGGGACAUAGGGGACACACAUGGGGGCGGAGGUAUGGGCAACGGAGUGGGCCCUGGGCUGGCUGUGGUUUUAGUGCGGCGUGCGGGAAAGAAGACAGCGCUUCGCAUGGUUGUGGCAGCAGGGGGGGUUUGGUGGGGUGAGGCGUGUGGUACUCACCAGCGUUUGCGGGUGCAACCGUGCCCAACAGCAAUACGGCCGGUGUGCCGACCGCGAGAGCUCCGAGCGCGAUCGCCUCCCGGCGAUUGAUUGAAGCCAGCAUCUUUUCAUACUUGUGAGGAGAUCCUGCUACAAGUAUUCGACAUGCUCGCGGCGCCGGCUGCGCACGCGACGGAAGUAAGGAAUUCUGGGCUCGGCAUCCCGGGUGUUUCGCGACGGAAUACUGCAGCGCCCCCAAGCGGCACGGCAGCGGCAUUUUGUGAGUCGAAGUGCAAUUAAUAAGAACAGUGGAAGUGGCGUGCCUUUGUAGUCGACAGGAUUCUGCCAUCUGUCGCUUUCAUGGCCAGGCAUGGUCCCCUGGCCCACCGGGAGUUGCACAUGGUCCCACUGCAGUGGUCCCACUCCCAGGCUUCUUGACAAUACUAUUUCCCACCAUUCUGUUGCAUUGACACCCCGUUACCCCCCGUCGUGACAGGCUUGCGCCGUGGCGGAAGCGUGUCAGUGAGACAGGCGUAAGGCCACUGGGCCAGCCUUCCGCCCAAACCUUUGCCCCCGUCUGCCCUCAUGCCGCGCCGGAGACCCCGCCCGCCUGUUCUGUUGCACAUGGGUGCAGUACCUCAUCAGGAGGACCGACAGAGCGAGUCCCAACCGCCAUAGCAGUACUAACCGCCAGCACUCGCCCGCAGCAGGGGCACCUAUCGCACCUGAAGCACCAUUCGGCGGCCUCCGUAAUUAUGUGUGCCCAAAGCACACUGUCCCCCCGCAACGUCGCGCCCAACAAUAUUCGACCCCCUCCCCCCCCCCCCGCCAUGCAGUCCAGCCCGUCCACCGGCAACCCACCGCCGCCGCUUGGCUCGGCGCCCCCAUGCUGGCGGCUCCACCCUCCACCCGCCAUUCACCACACUGCAACACUGCCGGGCACAGACCUAACCCCAGCCCUGCCCUUGCUCUCCCCAUGCUCAACCGCGUCACACCACGGCCCACAUCAGUGCAUCGCAGUCUGCGCGGCAGCACCCACUAGCGAACCCGCUCACCCUCGCACAUGCACCCGCUUCGCGUGGGGCCCUGGGGCCCUUGGGCUGCCCAUCGCUGUCCACACACACACACACACACACACACACACACACACACACACACGCACACACACACACACACACACACACACACACACACACACACACACACACACACACACACACACACACACACACACACACACACACACACACACACACACACACACACACACACACACACACACACACACACACACACACACACACACACACACACACACACACACACACACACACACACACACACACACACACACACACACACACACACACACACACACACACACACACAACCGUAUGCCGUCGCGUUGCUUUAACGCACACACUGUCUUUAACACAGAACGGUGUGAGCCGCCACGGCAUACACCUCGCUCACCACGCGCCCGACCCGCCCCACCCCAAGCUGCCGCCGCCGCCGCCGCCGCCGGCGCCGCCGCCGCCGCCAGCACCACCACCGCCCCAGCCGGCUCCCAUGGCAGUGACCGACCCCCCGCCGCCGCCGGCGCCGCCGCCGCCGCCGUGGUGGCGGUGGCGGUGCGCGCCGCCGGCGCCGCCGCCGCCCGCCGCCAGCUCCGCCACCCCCUCAAUGAGCGCCAUCUCCGCCGCCCGGUGCAUCAGGGCCAAGGCGUCCGCAGACCAGGCCAGCGGCUCGGCGCCAGCGGUGGCGGCGGCGCCAGGGGCGGGUGCGAUGCCGCCAGGGGCAGUUUCAGGCGCUGCUGCCGGGACGGCGGUCGCGCCCGCAGGGCCGCCGGUGUCGCCAGCGGCGGCGGCGGCGGCAUCGGCCGGCGGCUGUCGCUGCCGCGUCGCCGCCAGCCGCGCUGCCUCGGCGGCGGCGGCCUGCCCCGCCGCCUCCGCCGCCGCUAGUGCUGAGUAACGCCGCGCUGGCGACGCCGACGCCACGCCCAUGGCCGGCGGCGGGAUCCUGGCGGCGUUGGCAGCGGCAGUGGCGGCGCCGCCGCCUGCCCCCGGCGCCGCCACCGCCGGCGCCGCCGGUGCGACCUGAGCGGUAUCAGCAGCACCGCCGCCUGGCGACGAGGGUGCCACGGGGGCGGCAGCGCCUGGCACCGCCGCCGCCGCCGCCACUGCUACUGCCGGGCCAUUUGCGCCGCCGCCGCCGCCGCUGCUACUGCCGCCGGCGGCGGCUGCCUCGCGCUGGGCCUGCACCGCCUCCCAGGCCUCGGCGAACAGGCCCAAGAACGCCGAGCGCGGCAGGCAGGUCGGCAACUCGCUGAAGCUACAGCCGGCUAGGCGGCUGCUGCCGCCGCCGCUGCUACUGCCGCCGCCGCCGCCUAGCACGGUCACAAACUCAUCCACAUACUCCUCGUCCAACUCCUGCUCCCCAUCAUCGUCAUCGUGGUCGCCGGCGGCCUCCGCCUCCGCCCCACUCGCCUCCGCCGCCUCACUCGCCGCCCCGCCCUGCAGCUUGCUGCCGCUGCUGCCGCCGCCGCCGUACAGCACGGCGCCAAUGUCGCGGCACAGCGCCGCCGCCGCCGCCACGUCAGCCACCUCCAGCAGCCGCGGCUGUAGCGCCGCCAGCCAGCCUGCGUCGGGGCGCACCGCCGCCGCUACAGCCUCCGACAGCGCCGCCGCCGCCGCCACGUCCGUGGCGGCGGCGGCGGCGGUUGGCGCAGCAGCGGCGUCAGCUUCAGUGCUAGGUUUGGCGGCAGCGGUGGCUGCAGCAGCUGCCGCUGCUGCUACUGCCGCAGCGGCGGCGGCGCCUGCUACAGCCGAGUCGCCGGGCUGCCGCCACCAUACGGGCACCUGGAGGUGGUAGAUCCGGAUGAGGGCUGUAGCAAGCCCCGGGUUGGACAGCCGCGCAGCGUGCGCCAGCGCCGCCGGCUGUAGCAGCGGCCGCAGCCGCGGCGGCAGUAGCGCCGCCAGCAGCUCGCAGCGCAGCGCGCCGCCGAACGCCAUCGCCGCAACGUCGGACGGCGGCGGCAGCGCCGGCGGCGGCUGUAGCAGCUCCAGCAACUCCGCUACUUCGUCGCCGUCGUCGCCAUUAUCGCCAGUGGCGGCGGCGGCGGCGGCGGCGGCGGCGGGGGCGGCAGCGGCAGUAGCACGCGGCAGCGUCUCUGACGCCGCCUCGCCGCCGCGACCGCCGCUCAGCGACCAGCGCUGGCCGCUGUUGCUCAGCCUGCUGAUGCUGCCGCUGUCCGUGGCAGUAGCACGCCUGCCGGCGGCGCCCUCGCCGCCGCCGUGUUGCACACCCGCAGCCGACGCCACCGCUGCGUCGGCGGCGCCGGUGUAAGCGGCGCGCAGCGUCGCCGCCGCCAGCUUGACGCGCGUGUCAAAGGGGAGGCGGCGGCGGACGCGGCACGACAGAUCAUGACAGCUCGGGCACUGGUGGCCGGACCAGUAAGAGCAGGCCGGCCGCGCCGCCGCCGCCGCCGCCGGGGCCAUCGGCGCGGACGCGCCAGUACCGGCGGCGGCGGCAGCGGCGGCUGGUCCGCCGCAGUAGCACAGCAAAUCUAGCGGGCACAUCAGCGGCUGUAGCUGCUGCUGCUGCUGCUGUUGCUGCCAUGCUGCCCCGACACCGGAGCCGCCAUCCACCUCCAUGCCUUCCGCCCCAGCCGCUGCUACUGCCGCCGGCGCUGCAGCCGCCGCCGGCGCGCUGGCAAGCAGUAGCAGCGCAGACAGCGGUUGUAGCGCCAGUGACGCCAGCAGCCGCCCUAGGUGGACGAGCGGCAGCGCGCCCAGCAGGCGCGACCCGGCGUCGCCGCCAAUGUACGACAUGCCGUAAGCCGGCACGCCACCGUACGGCACCCGUACGGCAACACCGGUUGCGGCGCCGCCGCCGCCACUGGCGGCGGCAACCGUACUGUGCACGGCGUACGGCAGGGCGGGCGCGGCGGUUGGGAGGUCGGCGUGUAUGUCGGGCGGCGGCGGCGGCGGCGGCAGUAGCCGGCCCAGAGGCGAGGCCGACAGCGCCAGCUGCAGGUGCCAGGGCUGUAGCACCAGCGUCGCCGGCGGCGCGCUGCUACUGCCGUGGCUGCUACUGCCGUGGCUGCUACUGCCGUGGCUGCUGCUGCUGCUGCUACUGCCGGUGCUGGUGGCCAGGCGCAUGAGCCCCGCGUCGGCGUAGGCCUGUUGCGGGGAGGGAGGGAGGGAGGCAGCCCGGGUGAAGGACAGAGUCAGGGAUCAGGGAGUCAGGGAGUUAGGGAGCCAGGGUGAAGGAAAGAGUCAGAGAGUCAGCGAGUCAAGGAGUCAGGAGUCAGAGAGUCAGACGAGAGGUGCGGUGCGGCGUGCCCGAUGUGCCCCGAGCAGGAGGACGUGGCCCGCCAGCAGGACUGGUGCCCAUGCCCCUUCCCACUCCACGCCCAAUCCCCAUCAGCAGCAUUGAACAGCUUUCCACUCCAGGCGCGUGACGUAUCGUGCCGUACACAACGUCAACCCGACGUCACAACCACGCCACGCGUAAUCCACACUCUCCUCCGCACCUUCCCCGCACCUUCCCAGCUUGCCGCCCGGCACGCCUGCUCCGAGCCGUUGCUCCACUUCGGUCAAGCUAGCACCCCGCCUCCUUCCCUCUACCCACACCGACACACUCUUACGCACGCGCACACACGCACACUACGCGUACUGUUUUCUUUGUGCUCUUUAACACAUACACAUAUACACACAAACACACACGCACGCACACACACGCACACACGCAGUCUCACCACCGCCGUCUCCAGCACGCGCGUGGCAAACCACUCCAGCACCGCGGCCAGAGCCACCACCCCCCGCACGUCAGCGUCCCCCUGACGCCCGCUGCCGCUGCUGCUACUGCCGCCGUACGAGACGACAUCGAGCUCCGUGAUGCUGCCACUGUCGCUACUGCCGCCGCUGCCGCUGCUACUGCCGCUGCCGCUGCCUGUGUUGGUGCCGGAUCGCGCCCCGCGGGCGCUGGCGCCGCCGCCGCCGCCGCCGCGCAGGCGCGGCAGCCGCCGCUGCCACCAGUGCUCUGCGGCCGGCGGCGGCGGCGCCGCCGGAGCCGGUGCCGCGCCGCCGCUGGCAGCGGUGCCGGCGGCAGGACCGGCAGUAGCAGCAGCCGGCGGCGCUGCUGAUGCCGCGGGCACGGCAGUAGCAGCAGCAGCCGUGGUCGCGGGGGACGGGCUGGCGGCGCCGCCACUGCCGUCGGCCGAAGGGCCGGCUGCAGCAGCAGCCGGCUGCUGGUCUCCCUGUGCACACGUCGGUGAUGCAGACAUGCGUGAAUAAAGUAUGCUAAGUGAUUGGGAACUUGCCAAGCAGCACAUUUGUACAUGUAUACUAUUCAAUCGUAAGCACAUAGUUGCCAUUCCAGGCCGGGGGCACACCACUGGGAAUGCUGGCUGGCUAGCAUCUGCAACGCGAGAAAUAAACCCGCCCCACACCACUGGUUCUGGGUCAUGAUUUAAUCAAACUGCCGGUACCCGCUCCACCUCAACCUACCUGCUCUGCGCUCUCCCGAUCGCCCGACUCCUCGUCCUCGCCUCCCGCCGCCGCCGCCGCCGCCGCCGCCGCCGCCUCCCCCACAUGACGACCGCGCAUCGGUGGCAGUCUGGCGGCGGGGGCUGCAGCAGCAGCAGUGGCUGUAGCAGCAGGAGCGGUUGUAGCAGCAGCUGGAGCCGACGGGCCUGGCCCCAGCGUCAUCCCCGCCAGCGGCGUCGCCAGCGCCGCCGCCGCCGCCGCCUGCCGCCGCGCCGCCGCCGCCUGCAUCCGCGCCGCCACCAGCUGCCGCAGCUGCUGCCGCUGCGCCUCCCUGGUCGACUGGCCACCGCCGCCGCCACCGUCGCCGCCGCCGCCGCCAGUGCCGCCAGCACCAGCUUCAGCGCCUGCCUGCAUCCCGGCCGCCCCACCUGCCACUGCCCCUGCCGCUGCCUCUGCAGCCGCCACCGCGGCUCCCGACGCAGCACCGCCAGCGUCGGCACCUGCACCUGCACCUCCACCACCACCACCUCCAACACCACCACCGCCACCAGCAACACGAGCACCACCAGGCCGACCAGUGACCACCACCAGACCGCCGCCGCCGCCGCCGCCGCGGCCGCGGCCGCCCCUGCGCGCCGCCGCCGCCCCCAUCGCCUCCAGCGCCCGCCAGCGCGCGUCCACCGCCGGCGCGCGAAUGCCGGGCACGUUGCCGAACGCACCCAGCCCGCCCCGCGCCGCCGGCGCCGUUGCCGCCGCCGUCUCACCCUCAUGCCCGUUGCCGGCGGCUGCGCCGCCGCCGCCGCCGCCGCCGUCUUCGUCGUCGGUUUCCCACUCGUCGCUGUCGCUUUCGCCGUAAUCCUCAUAAAUUCCUUGGCCAUCUCCUUCAUCAUUCUCUUCUUCAUCCGUGUGAUGAUUGGCACGAUGGCGGCGGUGGCGACGAUGCGCUCGGAUGAGACCCGGCAGAGAUCCGUCGUCGUCCGUGUCAUCCGUGAUCGUGUCAUCGUAGUCGUUGACAUCAUCAUCUUCAUCCUCAUCUUCAUCAUCUCCGUCCUCAUAACCUACAUCAUCAUCAUCGUCAUCAUGCAUGUCUUCGCUGUCGCUGUCGCCGCCACUGGGGACGUCGUCUUCGCCCUCCGCAAACUCGCCCUGGUAUGGGGGAUGGGGUUUGCGGUGUGUGGGUGUGGGGUGCGGGAUGUGGGGACGUGUGGGCGCGUGUGGGGGCGUGCGAAUGUGGUGUGUGGGUUUGUGAGGUAUGCGACACGUACGGUACGGAGGACUGUGACGUGCCAAGCGAAAACCACAGCGGUAUCAGUAGGCGCACGGCGGGCGCAGCAGCAACACAACCACACACACAGCUGAGCCUCUCCUCUCCUCUCGGGCAUCCCUGACAUACACAGCCACUCAUGCGCAUACACACACGCACACGCACACACGCACACACACGUUCACACACACGCCCACACGUACGGCAUACACACACGUACGGCAGUACGGCACACACGCGUGCGCUACUCACGUGCAGCGGCGUGUAUUGCCCCACGAUGCACGCCACGCGGCCCAGCCCCAGCCCCAGCUCCAGCUUUCCCCCCAGGCUGCCCCACGUCUCCUCCCACACGCCGCCGCCGCCGCCCAGCUCGCACAGCGUGUCGUCGUACUGCAACAGUGCGGCGCGCGCGGCGGCGGCGGCAUCGGCGGCCAGGGGCGCCGGGAAGAGCGACUGUGGGUGAGUGGGGUGGGGGUAGCGGGUUACAUCGUGGGGUUACAUGCAUAAUUGGUGUAGGAAGUGAAGUUGUGUAGCCAGGGGGGCAGGGGGGUUACAUGCAUAAUUGGUGUAGGAAGUGAAGUUGAGUAGCCGGGCGCAGCAGUGGGGGUAGCCGGGCACGGGGUUGCUAGGUGAGGGCGGUGUGGAGCAAGGGGUGUGGAAAUGUGGAAUGGGGACGGAGGAGGAAAGCACAGGAUUGUUGGGGAUUAGGGGGAGAAAAGGUAGGGAAGCAGGCAGGGUGGCCGUUUGGGGGGCGCUGUAGAAGUGCACACCGUACACACAUGGACACACACAUGAACACACACGUUCACGCAAACCGUCACGCAUUUGAACACACACACACACACACACACACACACACACACACACACACACACACACACACACACACACACACACACACACACGCGCACACACACACACACACACACAGUCGCACGCACCUGCACCGCCAGCAGUACGUCGCCCUCGCCCAUGGGUGCCGACUCCUGCGUGCGGCGGCGUGCGGGGGGGGGGGAGGGGGGAGGCGGGGUGCGGGAUGGGGCCGAUGGCACAGUGCGUUAGUUUGUGGCGGGGACUCGUGCCAUUGCGGCGUUGUGGCGUUGUGAGGUACUGAGGUUUGGAGCGGCGGUGCGAGCGGCAUGCGCGGAUGAGUCUCAGCAGCCUUGCGCUCACCCCCUGGGCUGGCUGGGUCUUGUUCUACGUGGGUUUGGAUUAAACUACACCACCACCACCACCACCCCACACACAACCUUGCAACCCCCUGAUGUCAAAUCAUAGGCCAUGCUCUCCUCCUCGCUCUUUUACAUACCGUCCCCCUCCCUAAUAACCCCCCCCCCCACACACACAUCCUCCCACCCCCCACCCCCCCCACCCCACCACACACCCACACACCUGCACUAGCUCGCUGCAUAUGACCGCCAUGGCCGCCCCCAGCAGCCGCCGAGCUACAGCCGUGACGCAGUCGUUCAGCGCCGCCAGCGCCCGCCAGUCCAGAGACAGGCCGGCAGUAGCAGCAGCAGCAGCGGCUGUAGCAGCGGCAGUGGCUGUAGCAGUAGUGGCGGCGGCGGCACCGGUGCUGCUACUGCCAGCGCCAGUGGCGGCAGUGGCAGGUGGCGGCGACGGCGGC